GUCCUUGUCGUAAACGAUGUUUACUUGAUGUAGUUAGGCUCAACCCUGACUGUGUCGUAGCUAACGCGAUAAGUAAACCGCCUGAGGAGUACGCUCGCAAGGGUGAAACUCAAAAGAAUUGACGGGGGCCCGCACAAGCAGUGGAGCAUGUGGUUUAAUUCGAUGCAACGCGAAGAACCUUACCUGGGCUUGAAAUGCAGAGGGCGAUAUCAGAAAUGAUAUUUUCCGCAAGGACUUCUGUAUAGGUGCUGCAUGGCUGUCGU
rnacentral:rRNA from 1 species